rnacentral:sRNA from 2 species
AUCAAUAGCCUAAGUUUAACAAAAACGGGGAAACCAUGUUUUGGGGUGAAUCACAUUUAUGUGUAGGUUAUGCCUUUACCGAACCCGUCAGCUAACCUCGUAAAUAAAAGGAGGAAAU